rnacentral:rRNA from 1 species
GAGCACCUUCCCGAAAUAUGGGGGAUAGCCGGCCUAACGGCCGAGUAAUACCGCAUACGCUCUCGAUGAGGCAUUUCAUUGAGAGGAAACCUCCGGGGUAUUUCGAGGGGCUCGCGGCCUAUCAGCUAGUUGGCGAGGUAACGGCUCACCAAGGCAACGACGGGUAGCUGGUCUGAGAGGAUGGCCAGCCACAUUGGGACUGAGAUACGGCCCAG